GAGAAGUCUGCAAAACUAAAUAAAUUGCGGAAGCAAUUGGAAAAUUCUGAAAACAAGCUGCAGAAUCAGAGGAAUGAAUUGGCGCAUAAACAUGCUUAAGAAAAGUUAAUGCUCAUCAAAGAACAACAGCGGUUGCUAUCGGAAUGCGAGAAUUUACAAUCGCGACUGCAGACGAUCGAGAAAGAGAAAUGCGACAUCGCGAAAUCUGCCGCAUAAGUUGAAAAUUAAUUGCUACUUUAAGAAGAGAAAAUGCAGGAAGCACUGGUGGAGCAAAACAAAUGGCAAGAACUAGUAAAUGACGUUGAGCGGAAAUUCCAUUCACAGAAAAAUGCGUUAGUGAGCGCACACGCCAAGGAAUUCAUAUAUUCCGUGAUAUUCUCGAUGUACGGCCAAGCUGCAUUCCGUCUGUUGUUGCUAAAAAAGAAAGUCGCAGAAUAUAUAAGAGAGGUUCGUGUUACGACAAAAAAGGAAGAAGAAAGGAACGAGGCUUACUUUGCUUGGACCUCUUCAUUGUUGCGUGUGUCUAUCUCCGAGGAGGCGGACGAAGAGGCCUGCGUCUCCUGACUCUCCUUCAGUUUUCGUCUUAGACUUUAGAUUGUACCGUCCUUAUUC